ensembl:snRNA Gm24003 predicted gene, 24003
GAGCGAGCACGAGCACAUACACUAACAUUGGAAGCAUACAGAGAUUAGCAUGGCCCUGCUCAAGGAAAACAUGCAAAUUUGUGAAGCGUUCCAGUUUUUU